GGUCUCACACAGGAUAGGCAAUCACUUGACCACUGACUGUGUCCCCAGCCGUUUGGUUUAUUGUUUUAUUUUGUUUGUGGUGGUUUUUUGCUUGCUUGCUUGUUUGUUUGAGGCAGGGUCUCUUUAAGUUAUCUUUGCCACAGCCUAAUUUGCAGCUUCAACCUACCAAUUUGUGCCCAGGAACGAGGACCAGGACUGAGGACGCCCUCUUUCUGCACAAUACCUGCCCAUGCAGAGUCUCUGCAUUUUGACACCCACAAGCUCCGCAGCUUCCCUCUCCUACUGUGACUCAUCAGCAUUCUCCUUCCCAGUGUUUUGGAGUGGGUGUUGAUGGAGGGGAACGUGAGCUUCCAGAUAGAGUCUCAUGCAGUCCAGCCUGGUCUUGAACUCAUGGUGAAGCCAAGGAAGGCCGUGAACUCCUGAUUUCCUCUUCUACCUUCCAAGUGUGGAGAUUACAGACACACACCCCUUUAAUUACAGAACUUGGGAGACAGAUGCCAGUGGAUCUCUGUGAGUUCAAGGCCAGCUUGAUCUGCAUUGCAAGUUCCCAGGCCAAGUAGGGCUACAUAAUGAGAUCCUGGCAAAAAGAAAAGAAAAAUAAGGAGGAAGAGGAGAAGAAGAAGAAAAGGAAGAAGGAAAAAGAAAAGGAGGAGAUGGAGACGAAGACAAAGAAGAAGAAGGAGAAGAAGGAGGAGGAAGAGGAGAAAAGAAGAAGAAGAAGAAGAAGAAGAAGAAGAAGAAGAAGAAGAAGAAGAAGAAGAAGAAGAAGAAGAAGAAGAAGAAAGCAAGCAAGAGCAAGCUCCCUCCACUGCUUUGUGUUUUAAAAGAGAAUGACUGUUCAGUGUCCCUGGAAACUCACCAGAAAGCGAAUCAUUGUGAAGCAGCUCAUGUCUUCUCCAUAAAAAUAACGCUGCCUGCUGUUGAGGCUGCCUUCUAGAGGAAGAAUUGGCAUGAGAAGCCGGGCGUGCGUGACUGGCGAUGGCACAGGAGCAAAGAACUAUAAACCUUUAUCGUCACUUAAUAUAAUAAACGUGUGCUCUGAUACCUUUUAAAAUGCCCAGAAAUGGAGAGCGCACCCUGAUUACACAGAAGGCCAUAAAAUGAACAUGCUGCACAUAAAAAAUUAUACUGUUGUAUAAAUUUUCCUGAAGACUGAUGUAUUAUUUAUGAUAAGCAUUAAUUAAAAGAUUAAUUGCUAAUGUUCUUUGCCCUUGUACAAUUUAGCAAAAAAAUCAAAGUAGCUUAAAUAUAUUUGGAGAUAA
rnacentral:lncRNA from 1 species